rnacentral:rRNA from 10 species
GCGGCAGGAUCACCCGCCGAACUUAAGCAUAUUACUCAGCGGAGGAAAAGAAAACAACCGUGAUUCCCUCAGUCAGCGGCGAGCGAAGAGGGACCGAACUCGACGCCGAAUCGGGCUUCAUAGAGCCUUGAGUUGUGGCGAGCUUCUUCGUGAUUGGUGUGGGAGUGGCGAAAUUCAAUGUGCAAAGCAAACCCAUUGCUGAACACAACCCUUCAUGUGAGUAUUGAGCCAAAGAAGGUGACAGCCCAUUGAGCCAUAAACCCGAGCAUCUCACUAAGGAGUACCAAGCGAGUAGCGCUUCUUGGGAGUGAAGCGUCAAUCGGCAGGUAUGUGUCUGCCAAGGUUAAAUACAGAGUAGGAAGACCGAUAUCGAACAAGUAGCGUGAGCGAAAGUUUGAAAAGCACUUUGGAAAGAGAGUGACAUAGAACCUGAAGUCGUGACAAUGGCAAUGGAAGCAUCUCCAUUUGAUCGCCAAAACCAGCCUCUCAGCAUCAUCCGUCUCGGACUACGUACCUUGGCGGCAACGACUGCAGAACCGAGGUUUGGUGACAUGAGCGGAGUUAAAGUGGGACGCACUGCCUAGCAGCGAGCGCCUUCUUCUCCGUGACCUCAAUGUUGGCGCAAGGCAAUGGGAUGCCUUCACCCGUCUUGUAACACGGACCAAGGAGUCAAACAGACACGCAAGAGGGAGGAUAUUGUUAACAGUACUUCUCUCGUACUGAAAGGGUGAUACCUGGUAUCAUGGUGUGCACACAAACGAAUGCCCAACACCAACCGGCCCGUACGCGGGUUGAGUUUGAGUGUGCCUGUUUGGACCCGAAAGGUGGUGAACUAUGCCUGAACAAGGUGAAGCCCGGGGAAACCCAGGUGGAGGCCUGUAGCGAUGCUGACGUGCAAAUCGCUCGCAAGAUUUAGGUAUCGGAGCGAAAGACUCAUCGAACCACCUAGUAGCUGGUUCACGUCGAAGUUUCCCUCAGGAUAGCUGGUGCUAGAACUACAUGAUUAGUAUUGUGCGGUAAAGCAAAUGAUUAGAGGUAUUGGUGUUCUUAGAGUAUCGACCUAUUCUCAAACUUUAAAUGUGCAAACAAUCCGGUCUUUGCCAAGUUCGGAAGGCCGGAAAGACAGAAUUAAGGCACCAAGUGGGCCUUCUUCGGUAAGCGGAGCAGGCGAUGCGGAAUGAACCGCUUAGGGAUAUGUGGCGUCUAAACUUUUGGGCUCAUUCUCGAUACGUGAAAAGGGUGUUGGUGGAUAUAGACAGUUGGACGGUGGCCAUGGAAGUCGGCACCCGCUAAGGAGUGUGUAACAACUCACCAACCGAAUCCACCGGCCCCGAAAAUGGAUGACGCUUCAGCCCAAUUAGUGAUUGCCCAUUAUUCCUUUGGUAAGGGCGGAAAAACUUGAGAAAGUACAGCCCUUCCGAUGUAGACGUGGUCUGGAGGUGUGGACGAAGCUUAUGGCGUGAGCCUAAGAUGGACCAGCCUCUAGUGCAGAUCUUGGUUGGCGUAGCAAAGAUCUAACGGAGUACUCAUGAACAUACAACGUUGGAUACUGGAGCGGGGAAGGAUUUCGUGCCAACGGCACUCGUACACGAGUUGUUCGGACACUGAGCACAGCGUUAAAUCGUUUUGUUAGGAAAGUGAAGGUGUACUGGCUCACGCUCUCCGGAGUGCGUUCUGGUCACAAUUGAAAUGGGGCAACAGAGAACCUGGGAUCAUAUUCCAGAAAGAAAUUGCAUGUGGGAUAUCACACAAAGCAAAGCAGGACUCACGUCUCGCUUUCAACAUCAGUGGUAAUGCGAAACACUUGCCAGGUGACAAAUCAAUCCUCCCACGGUGAGCUUUCUUUUCACCAUAAUCCGCAACUCCAGCUUGCUGGGGCUUGUGCCUCUCUACUUCUCGCGUUAUUCGGAGAGGAGGCACAAGAUUGAAAAAUGCAGCUCUCCUUACAUACUGUCAUUGUUGUGAGUUAUGCGCAAUAAAGCAAAAACCUGGGGUGUUAUUGGAAAAAUCCUUUUACACCAAAAAAGCAUUAACCCAAAUCCCAACUGCAGACCGUACUCAUCACCGCAUCAGGUCCCCAAGCAUAAAAUGCUCUGGUACAUAGAGAAAGGUACACUCAGGGAAGUCGGCAAAAUAGAUGCGUAAGUUCGCAAGAAGCAUUGGCUCUGAGGGCAAACGUCAAGGGCAAAGGGAAGGCCAGUGUCCGUUUUCCGUCGGCCGUUUUGCAGUUAGUGUAUUGGGCUUCGGUCCUUUGCCUGCUGCUGGCGACCGAUCGGUCUGCGUGAAGGCUACCUUCCUGAGGUCGGGCAACCGGCCUCCCCUUGGCACCCUGGUCGCUUUUCGGAGCGGCCAAAGAAUUGCCAACUCAGAACUGCUUACGGCGGGGGAUCCAACUGUGUAAUUAAAAAAUAGGUUUGUGA